CAUUUUUUUUGUCACAUUUCAUGUUACUGGGCCAGUCAGUUAGUGGGCUUUGUUGGAUACCUAUGGACCAGUCAGCUAGCCAUAGUCUUUACAUUCUGGUUUAAAGAGAAAAAAACCUGUGAAAACCCUUCCCCAAUGUACCUGACGGAACACCAGCUACCCCUACUCUUUCCAUCCCACCAGCUAUUUUUUCCAUCAUCAUACAACGCUGCAAUACUCAAGCACAUGGAAUUUGACCAGCUGUGUUGCGGUUCUUUCUUUGAUGCAUGAACUCUAAAAGGAGAAUCUAUGAUCUAUGACUGUAAAGGGUUGUCCGGUUUAAGAGGUAUUGCAUUCCAUUAUCCACCUCUUCUAACAGCUGGUAUGAUUAGUCACUGAUACCUACCAAAACCAGCUGGAAGUUCUUCUUUACAGACGUUCUGUGCUCAUCCAGUUCCCUUUAAUUUCAGUUGUUAACCUAUCCAUCACAAUGGCAUGUACUGGUGGUCAAUUGCAUCCAAUACGUAGCCUGCGGCCUGGAAAAAAUACAUGGAAACCCAAGCCAUAUCAGCAGCCUUCAGAAAAUCCAAACCUGCUAAGUGUUGAUGACAUUUUGGGUUCAUUAUGUUUUGUUGUUCACUGUUAUGCACGUGCGAAGAAUAUGUUUUGUUUGGUUUUGAUAAUACCGCCUCUGUUUUAAUUUUUUCCAUCUGUUUAAUAUUUAUCUUUCAAUGAGUUUAAUUAAAUGUCAUAUUCUAUUUUCUGCACUGUCUUCAGUUUGUAUAGAAGCUGGAUUAGUGGUGUGGGCUGUGGAUUUUUGCAGGCGAGUAUUCUGCUUGGCUGGUGAAAUUUGGAAACCAUUAAGGACCGAGUUGGCAGAUUUGAUGAAGAUAGCUAAUUGUUUGUGUUGUCUCGUGGCUAAUGAUAUUGGAUGUUGGAGGAUUUUGGAACUAUCUGUUUUGGUUUUGACAGAUAAAUAAAAACUGGCAAGUCUUCUUUCUUGGCACAACCAUGCUUUAUGUGCUGCGUGGAUAUGUUUAGUUGGCUAUUAGUGAGCAUGUAAAGUUUAUUGUGAUUUUCUUAGUGCUUUCUUGCAUAGGGUUGGAGGGAUGGAUUAGAAUUAUGUAUUAGGCUACACCCUGUAGCUGUUAAGCUUAUUCUUAGGCAUGUUUUGUCCUUAUUGUAUUAGAUUUUAAAGCUUUCUCUAUGUAUCGGGUUUGAAGUACCCUUCAUACUUCUCAUUAAAUAUACUCUUUUGCUUAUAAAAAAAAACAAAUGUCAUAUUUCCAAUAAA